rnacentral:rRNA from 1 species
AGACCCGAAACCCGGUGAUCUAGCCAUGGGCAGGUUGAAGGUUGGGUAACACUAACUGGAGGACCGAACCGACUAAUGUUGAAAAAUUAGCGGAUGACCUGUGGCUGGGGGUGAAAGGCCAAUCAAACCGGGAGAUAGCUGGUUCUCCCCGAAAGCUAUUUAGGUAGCGCCUCGUGAAUUCAUCUCCGGGGGUAGAGCACUGUUUCGGCUAGGGGGCCAUCCCGGCUUACCAACCCGAUGCAAACUGCGAAUACCGGAGAAUGUUAUCACGGGAGACACACGGCGGGUGCUAACGUCCGUCGUGAAGAGGGAAACAACCCAGACCGCCAGCUAAGGUCCCAAAGUCAUGGUUAAGUGGGAAACGAUGUGGGAAGGCCCAGACAGCCAGGAUGUUGGCUUAGAAGCAGCCAUCAUUUAAAGAAAGCGUAAUAGCUCACUGGUCGAGUCGGCCUGCGCGGAAGAUGUAACGGGGCUAAACCAUGCACCGAAGCUGCGGCAGCGAACGUAUCACCCAAGACAACUUUACGGAGUUGACGAUUGACGGAGCGAAGCGACGUCAAAGCGUUCAUUAAAGUCGAGUUGGCUUAGGGAUACGUUCGUUGGGUAGGGGAGCGUUCUGUAAGCCUGUGAAGGUGGCCUGUGAGGGUUGCUGGAGGUAUCAGAAGUGCGAAUGCUGACAUAAGUAACGAUAAAGCGGGUGAAAAGCCCGCUCGCCGGAAGACCAAGGGUUCCUGUCCAACGUUAAUCGGGGCAGGGUGAGUCGACCCCUAAGGCGAGGCCGAAAGGCGUAGUCGAUGGGAAACGGGUUAAUAUUCCCGUACUUGGUGUUACUGCGAAGGGGGGACGGAGAAGGCUAUGUUGGCCGGGCGACGGUUGUCCCGGUUUAAGCGUGUAGGCUGGUUUUCCAGGCAAAUCCGGAAAAUCAAGGC